GACGAACGCUGGCGGCGUGCCUAAUACAUGCAAGUCGAACGAGAGCGACCGGCGCUUGCAUUGGUCAAUCUAGUGGCGAACGGGUGAGUAACACGUGGGUAACCUGCCCAUCAGAGGGGGAUAACAUCCGGAAACGGAAGCUAACACCGCAUAGGUCUUCGAGCCGCAUGGCUCGUAGAGGAAAAGAGGCGCAAGCUUCUGCUGAUGGAUGGACCCGCGUUGCAUUAGCUAGUUGGUGGGGUAACGGCUUACCAAGGCCGUGAUGCAUAGCCGACCUGAGAGGGUGAUCGGCCACAUUGGAACUGAGACACGGCCCAGACUCCUACGGGAGGCAGCAGUGGGGAAUCUUCCGCAAUGGGCGCAAGUCUGACGGAGCAACGCCGCGUGAGUGAAGAAGGUUUUCGGAUCGUAAAACUCUGUUGUUAGGGAAGAACAAGUGCUAGAGUAACUGUUGGCGCCUUGACGGUAUCUAACCAGAAAGCCACGGCUAACUACGUG
rnacentral:rRNA from 1 species